CACUCAUGCCACACGGCCAGGAAGUGACUGUUUAGGAUUCGUAUAAAAAAGCUCGGGGAGGCCGACUGGGUUUCAUUCGGCUCCAUUCGAGUUCCUCUUGGCUCACCUCCGCUUUGCAAAUUCAGGUUUUCCUACCCAGUUUUCAAAAACAUGUCUCAGUGUAAGCAAUCAUGCAAAGCACCCCCUACCGUCGAACCCUGCUGCUCACCCAAGUGCCCUCCAAAGACUGCUGUGAAGUGUCCCCCCAAAACCGUUGAAUGCUGCCCUCCAAAGACCGUGGAGAAAUGUCCCCCCAAGUCCAAACAGCCUCCCAGGGGGUGUUGUUAACCCUCCCACCAGUGGCCGGAAAUGAAAAACCAGUCUUACAUGUAUAGCACGAGACAUCUUGGUAACAUUCCAUGUUGCUUUGCUUUGGGAAGCCGCUGAGGGUUUUCUUUCCUGCGUCAUUCCUGAUACCAUCUGCUCUGAUGCCGCUUGUUCCCAAGGACCACAUCCUUAGAUGUCCCAGAUGCCAUCUGGUGGAACCACAUUCUGUUGGCUGGCUAAGUUCUUGCUUGGAACAUCAUCCUUGGCAAGGGAGGACUAUUCUACAGGUGUUGCAGAAAGCUCUGUGUUGGAUGUGGGGAAUCGUCUGCUGUUGCCAACAACUCUCAUGCGUGGGUGUGCCGCAAUAAAAUUAUUCACUACCUCGCA